rfam:Recombinant Hepacivirus C SA13fl, complete genome
UAAGCUCAUCGCUCAGGGAGGUAAGGCCGCCAUCUGCGGCAUCUAUCUCUUCAACUGGGCGGUGAAAACA